rnacentral:lncRNA from 1 species
CAGCCUAGACCGGCAGAUUCGUCAGUUCAGAUCGAAGAGUUUCCUUCUAUUCGUGAUCAGUGGAAUGGCCAGCCUCCUAAGACAUCGACGUGGGAGUCUAAGUCUGAUAUGCGAAGCCGUUAUCCCCAUCUUUUUCUCGACUCAGGUACUUCCUUCUUAUGUUUGUUCGAGAACGGACAAUUAUUUUAGAGGUAGAAAAUAUGAUCACUUGUUUUUAAAUUGUAUGUUCCACGACCUUAAAAACCUCUUUGAGCAUCACCUCAAUUUAUGUGUGCAGUACGGCGCAUAGCCGGAAAGCUUAAAUGAGAAAAUCUGUGAAAAAUAAUAAAUUUUAACUAUAAAAUAAUUAAUUUGACUUUGGUCAGUAUUUUGGAUAAACGGACCCAGAACCAUGAUGUGCCAGUCCUGAGGGUCCGUAAGAAACGAUGGGACUUGCCCGUAUCCCCGGGAUCGAAUUCUGAUGUCCCAAGCCCGAGAAAUGAAUUUGUAACAAAAAUUGUUUUCUAAAAUUUAAAAGAAUUGGAAAUUAAUUUUGAUCAGAACGUAUUGGUAUUGGACCCAUAUUUUGGUUUUGGUGCCCGGUACAGAUCUUAUAUGCGGUUUAAGAUGAUUUUGUGAAAUUUAGUAAGAAACGGAUGUCAUUUGACGUGAUUCGGACUUUAAAUGGAAAAUUUGAUGUUUUAAGAAGUCUGAAUGAAUUCAUGGAUUUUGAGGUUUAAUUCGAUGUUUAUGAUGUUAUUUUGGCAAUUUGAUCGCACGGAUAAGUUGUAUGAUGUUAUUGAGUUAGUACGUAUGUUUGAUUUUGAGCCUCAAGGGCUCAUGUGUGUUUCAGAAGGUUUCUAGAACUAAAAAAGUUGCAGGUUUUGUUGUUUUGUGCCCAGGGAUUUUACCCUUCACGUUCGCGUGGUCCCUCUCGUGAACACGUUAGGCAAAUACCCUAGGUGCCCAAUUUCUACUUCGUGAAUGCGAAGCUUGAGACGUGAACGCGAGGCUGGGGGAGACCCUUCGCGAACGCGUCCCUACACUCGCGAACGCGUAAGGUUCUGGGAGGGUCACCAAUUUGUUCAUCGCGAACGCGAUCCAUUGCACACAAACUUGAGGCUCAAAGAGUUUCUUCUCCUCGAACGCGAGCCAUCUUCCGCGAACGUGAAGGCCUAACCCAUUGCAAAUGCGAUGGGCCUAUCGCGAAUGCGAUGAGUAUUUUUGCCUAGUUAUUUUAAAAGUCCAGAAACAGUAGCAUUAUGGGAUUUUCAUAAAAACUCAUAACUUCUUGAUCUAAACUCCAAAAUGGACGAUUUUAGAAAGAGGAUUUCACCACCAAUUCAUAGGUAUGUAAUCUUAGACUCAUUUUCUUCAAUUUCCAUUAACACCCAUUAGAUUUCUAGGCUUAAAUCAUGUGAUUAAGGAUAGAAAAUUAGGGAUUUGAGUAGAGUUAUGGCUUUUUAUAUAUUUAUGAUUUAUACCUCGUUUUGGGGUCAAAUUUUGGAACAAAUUUUAUGUUCGAGCUUGUGGGUGAAUGGGAGAUCGGUUUUGGUCUAAACCUCGUAUUUUGACCAAACGGGCCUAGGGUCAAUUUUUGACUUCUUGGGAAGAAUGAUUAGAAAGUUAUAACUAAGCAUUGGAAUGGGAUUGUUGAGCAUUUAUUGAUGUUAUUCGGUCGAUUAUGUAUAGACACAAUCGAUUUGGAGCCGAAUUCAAAAGGAAAUACAGUAUUUGAGGAUUGAGUUGGCCGUGGAAGUUUGAGGUAAGUGUUCGGUCUAACCUUAACUUGAGGAAUUAGAAGUUGUGUCCUAUUUAAUAUUUGUUUCUUUUUUAGUAGAACGUAUAGAAAUGGUGACGAGUAUCUAUACGUUGGUGUCGAGCAUGACUGUGAGUCUUAAAUUGAAAUGUGUUAUGUUCUUAAAUGACGCUAUGGAUGUUUUAAUUGUUGAUUCUCGAUAUUGAGCAAGGAUUGAGUUUAUUUUAGUGGAAAGUACUUAUGAUAGGGUUUUGGUAAUAGUUGAGAUGAGUAGAAGUUGAGUUAAGAUUGGUGAUAGCCGAUUCUCCCUUGUCGAGACGUAUUUACUAGUACUGUUGAAUCCCUUACCGGGAUAGUGUAGUUUAUUGUUGAUCCCUUGCCGGGACACUUGGUAUUGUUGUUGAUAUAUAUAUAUACAUAUACGCCAUAACAAUAUUAAAUAUGGAUCGGAUUGCACGACGCAACAAAUAUUAAAUAUGGAUCGGGUUGCACGCCGCAACAAUACUAAAUAUGGAUUAGGUUGCAUGCAGCAGCAAAUGUUAUAUUGGAUCGGGUUGCACGCCACAACAAUACUACUAUAUAUAGAUCGGGUUGUACGCUGCAAUGGUGUUAAAUGAUAAGGGAUCAGGUUGUGCACCGCAACCGUAUCUUAUUAUUUUGUUGUAGAUUCCGAGUUGUUCUCUCAUGUUUCCCUUAAGUUCCUGUUGGAUUUGACAUCUUCCCCGUAGCAUUAUACCCCCCUCCCAUUUAAAUUAUUUAUUUCGGUUAUUUUUUUUGAUAUAUUAUACAAUUGCACAGGUUUAUCUGGAGUCUAGUCCUAGCCUCGUCACUACCUCGCCGGGGUUAGGCCAGACACUUAUCAGCACAUGCGGUCGAUUGUGUUGAUACUACACCCUGCAUAAUCUGCAGAUACCGAAGCAACAUUUAGACAGUAGAACUCGGGGAACUAGCAUUCAGUCUAGCCAGAGAGCCCGAGGUAGUCUUGCAGGCGUCCGCAGAUCCGGCGUUCUCUUCUAUCUAUUUAUAUGUUCUGUUUUCACUUGGUUCCGAGACAGACUGUAUUUCCUUUUCCAGACAUUGUAAGUAUCACCCAUAGAUAGUCCGUG